UUUACCAAAACCAGGUUCUCAUUGUUGGUGAUGAAAAUGUAGCAACAUUGACAUGGUUUUUGUCAAUACUACAACACUAUUGAUGCAGGCUUGACACACAACUAGAUUAUAGAUCAAUUAUCUUCUCACUUCAGUAACACCAUGAUCUUGUGCUUGCUUUUUGAAAAUCAUGGAAGAACAACCUGUGAUCUGGUACCAAUUUUUGGCACAACCAUUAACUCCCAAAGUGAUUCACCAGAGUGCUUUAUGCUUUCCAACAGGUAUGCGUCAUACAAGAUGGAUUUAUUCUUGACCGAUUGGAAGCAUACCGCAACACGGCGUACACAAGGGCUAGCCUAAGCAUGCAGAUACAGAAGGUUUAGUUCAGUGGCUGUGCUGGACAGGAGGGGCCAGGGAAUUGCUUUAAGUUGUUCCAAGAGAUGUGAGCCUGAUAAAACGAUGACAUAGCAGAUUUCCACCGUGAAAUUUGGGUGGGAGGUCCUGCAUGUACAAUUAAUUUUCGCACAGAAGAUGAUUACAAUCAGAAUGGUGGCUGGACCGGAAGGCAAAGCCAGUUAAAUUUACCUUUUGAGCUUCCUGCUAUUAGUUGCCUCUGAUACGCAUCAUUCCUGUGCAACCAAUUGGAUUCAUCAUCGCAGCACCACAUGAGUACCCAUUUUUUCUGGCAUAUUCGAUGAGGUGUGAACAUGCAAGUACAUGCAGGACCUCCCACCCAAAAGGUCUCCUUGCAGGACCACUCUCAGUGGUUGGCCCUCCUGUUCACUUACACAAAAACAGAAGGCAGAAGAUGAUAUUGGCCCUGCUGUUGAGCCGCAAACAUAGAAUGUUGCUUUGGCAGGUCAAAGGAAGAAGCAGGUCGAAGGAAGAAGUUUAGACUAAAGACAUGGUCAAAGGAAGAAGCAGGUCGAAGGAAGAAGUUUAGACUAAAGUGGAGAGAAGAAUUUUACAGAUGCGUGUAUCCGGCUGGCUGCGACGGGCAGGGCGGGCUGUACCAGUGGGGAUCUCCCGUAGGGAUGCCACGUUGCGAGGGCAGGAUCCUGGGCGUUCCCUGGCGUCGCUGCCCUGGCGACCUUGCUGGAAGUUCUGUGGCGUCGCUGCCCUAGCGACCUCGGGGAAGGAAGCGACGCUGCUCGCGGACGGUCUCCACGUUGGUCGGCAACAAUGGCGGUGACACGGGAUGCCACGCUGCGAGGGCAGGAUCCUGGGCGUUCCCUGGCGUCGCUGCCCUGGCGACCUUGCUGGAAGUUCUGUGGCGUCGCUGCCCUGGCGACCUCGGGGAAGGAAGCGACGCUGCUCGCGGACGGUCUCCACGUUGGUCGGCAACAAUGGCGAUGGUGCGACGCGUGAUUGUAGGGGGUGGAUGGGGGGUGCUGGAGGUGGAGGACGGUCAGUCAAGGGUAUUUCCUAAGUCCACACCGUACAGGCAGCAAAUGAAUGAUGGCUGUUAGAUUUAGAUGUGCGGGUAUAAUUGUGUGGUGUUGAUUGUUCCGUGCGUUUUGCGGGACAAGUUGCCGGGUGUACUUAACGAAGUUCUUGUUUGCUUGUUUAUUAGUAGUAGAGAUACAAGUCAGGACAGGCACGCCGUGUAAGUUCGCAAGAAACCAUAAAUGAUGGCUGGGCAGUUGUCUUACAAGCAACAUAAAUUACCGGCACUCCAGCGGCAUCCCCUAAGAAGGGGCGACCGGUGCGGCACCCUCGGCGGUUCACGAAUUACCGGCACUCCGGCGGCGUCCCCUGAGAAGGAGUUGUUGGUCCUCGGCUCCUUGUCGCCAUGCCAAGUGGAGGCCGGUUGUGGUGUUUUCUUGGGAGAGAUA